UCGCGCGCCCGGAGCUACGUAGGGCAGAGAAGUCAUGGCUUCUCCGUCCAAAGGCAAUGACCUGUCUUCGCCUGAUGAGGAGGGCCCGGCGAUGGUGGCCGGACCGGGCCCGGGGCCUGGGGGCGCCGAAAGGGCAGCGGAGGAGCGCCGCAUCAAGGUCUCCAGCCUGCCCUUCAGUGUGGAGGCGCUCAUGUCGGACAAGAAGCCGCCCAAGGAGACGUCCCCGCGGCCAGCCGAAAGCGCCUCCGCCUGGGCCACCCUGCGGCAGCUUCUGCAGCCUGGCCACGGCGUCCGGGAAGCUCACAGCCCCGGGCCGCUGGUCAAACCCUUCGAGACCGCUUCCGUCAAGUCGGAAAAUUCAAAAGACGGAGCGGCGUGGAUGCAGGAACCGGGCAGGUACUCGCCGCCGCCAAGACACAUGAGCCCCACCACCUGCACCCUGCGGAAACACAAGACCAAUCGGAAGCUGCGUACACCCUUUACCACUUCCCAGCUCCUCGCUCUGGAGCGCAAGUUCCGCCAGAAACAGCACCUCUCCAUCGCAGAGCGGGCAGAGUUCUCCAGCUCUCUGAACCUCACAGAAACCCAGGUCAAAAUCUAGUUCCAGAACCGAAGAGCCAAGGCGAAAAGACUGCAGGAGGCAGAACUGGAAAAGCUGAAAUUGGCUGCAAAACCUAUGCUGCCCUGGGGCUUCAGCCUCCCUUGCCCCAUCAACUCUCCCCUGCAAGCAGCAUCUCUAUACGGUGCAUCUUACCCUUUCCAUAGACCUGUGCUCCCCAUCCCGCCCGUCGGACUCUAUGCGACGCCAGUGGGAUAUGGCAUGUACCACCUAUCCUAAGGAAGACCAGCUCAAUAGACUUCGGGACGGAUGUUUGUUUAAAAGCCU